rnacentral:tRNA from 1 species
GCUAUUUUGGUGGAAUGGUAGACACAGUGCUCUUAAGAGGCACCGCGAAAGCAUAUUGGUUCAAAUCCAAUAAGUAGCA